UCCAAUCGAACCCGGAGAUAGCUGGUUCUCCUCGAAAUAGCUUUAGGGCUAGCCUUGAGGGUCAUUAGCGCAGGUAGAGCACUGAAUGGGCGCGGGGGCCACAAAGCCUACCAACCCCUAUCAAACUACGAAUGGCGAAUAAUGUAGACCUCAGGAGUCAGUCCGCGAGAGAUAAGUUCCGCGGGCAAAAGGGGAACACCCCAGAUCAACCGCUAAGGUCCCAAAGUGCACGUUAAGUGGAGAAGGAUGUGGAAUUGCACAGACAACCAGGAUGUUGGCUCAGAAGCAGCCAUUCAUUUAAAGAGUGCGUAAUAGCUCACUGGUCGAGUGGUUGUGCGCCGAAGAUGUCCGGGGCUAAAACGUGACACCGAAGCGAUGGAUGCGUAGCAAUACGCGUGGUAGAGGAGCAUUGUGUGCUGGGAGAAGCCAGAUCGAGAGGACUGGUGGACGGCACAGAAGAGAGAAUGCCGGUAUGAGUAGCGAGAGGCAUGCGAGAAACAUGCCCGUCGAAAGCCCAAGGUUUCCUGGGGAAGGUUCAUCCACCCAGGGUAAGUCGGGGCCUAAGCCGAGGACGGAAGUCGUAGGCGAUGGACAGCAGGUGGAAAUUCCUGCACCACCGAGGAAUGAAGCAGUGACGCAGAAGGAUAACUCGAGCAGGGUGAUGGUCAACUCUGUGCAAGCAACGAGGUUGGGGUAUAGUGAAGUACGUACUCCUGUAAGCUGAGUUGUGAUGCGGACCGAAACGAAAGUAGGGAAGCGAGUGAGUUCACGCUGACAAGAAAAGCUGCUAGUACAUCCGAAGGUGCCCGUACCGGAAACCGACGCAGGUGGGCGAGGAGAGAAUCCUGAGACGAACGGGAGAACCCUUGUUAAGGAACUCGGCAAAAUGACCCCGUAACUUCGGGAUAAGGGGUGCCUACGAAAGUAGGUCGCAGAGAAUAGGCUCAAGCGACUGUUUAGCAAAAACACAGGUAUCUGCGAAAGCGAGAGCUGACGUAUAGGUGCUGACACCUGCCCGGUGCUGGAAGGUUAAGGGGACAUGUUAGCGAAAGCGAAGCAUCGAACCGAAGCCCCAGUAAACGGCGGCCGUAACUAUAACGGUCCUAAGGUAGCGAAAUUCCUUGUCGGGUAAGUUCCGACCCGCACGAAUGGUGUAACGACUUGAGCGCUGUCUCAACAGGGGGCCCGGUGAAAUUGAAGUAUGGGUGAAGAUGCCCAUUACCCGCGACUGGACGGAAAGACCCCGUAGAGCUUUACUGUAGCCUGAUAUUGGAUUUCGGUAACGGAUGUACAGGAUAGGUGGGAGGCUAGGAAACCAGGACGUCAGUCUUGGCGGAGCCGGCGGUGGGAUACCACUCUUUUGUUACUGAAACUCUAACAUGGACCCGUGAAACCGGGUAAUGGACAGUGUCAGGUGGACAGUUUGACUGGGGCGGUCGCCUCCGAAAGAGUAACGGAGGCGCCCAAAGGUACCCUCAGAAUGGAUGGAAACCAUUCGCAGAGUGCAAAGGCAGAAGGGUGCCUGACUGCGAGAGUGACAAUUCGAGCAGAGACGAAAGUCGGGCUUAAUGAUCCGGCGGUAUUGAGUGGAAAAGCCGUCGCUUAACGGAUAAAAGCUACCUCGGGGAUAACAGGCUGAUCUCCCCCAAGAGUCCACAUCGACGGGGAGGUUUGGCAC
rnacentral:rRNA from 1 species